AUUGAACGCUGGCGGCAGGCCUAACACAUGCAAGUCGAGCGGAUGAAGGGAGCUUGCUCCUGGAUUCAGGCGGCGGACGGGUGAGUAAUGCCUAGGAAUCUGCCUGGUAGUGGGGGAUAACGUCCGGAAACGGGCGCUAAUACCGCAUACGUCCUGAGGGAGAAAGUGGGGGAUCUUCGGACCUCACGCUAUCAGAUGAGCCUAGGUCGGAUUAGCUAGUUGGUGGGGUAAAGGCCUACCAAGGCGACGAUCCGUAACUGGUCUGAGAGGAUGAUCAGUCACACUGGAACUGAGACACGGUCCAGACUCCUACGGGAGGCAGCAGUGGGGAAUAUUGGACAAUGGGCGAAAGCCUGAUCCAGCCAUGCCGCGUGCGUGAAGAAGGUCUUCGGAUUGUAAAGCACUUUCAGUGAGGAGGAAAGUUGGUUCACUAAUAUUGGCCAGCCUUGACGUUACUCACAGAAGAAGCACCGGCUAACUCCGUGCCAGCAGCCG
rnacentral:rRNA from 1 species